rnacentral:rRNA from 1 species
CGUCCAACAGCUAGCGCAUUAAACCAAUCACAACACAUCCCCAUAAAUAACCCCUAACACACUAAGACUUAAUUAAGCAAACCAUUUUUCCCCCCUAGUAUGGGAGACAGAAAAGGAACAAAGAAGCAAUAGAAAAAGUACCGCAAGGGAACGCUGAAAAAGAAAUGAAAUAACCCAGUAAAACUUUAAAAAGCAGAGAUUAACCCUCGUACCUUUUGCAUCAUGAUUUAGCCAGUGUAACUCAGGCAAAGAGCACUUUAGUCUGUUCACCCGAAACUAUAUGAGCUACUCCAAGACAGCCUAUUUAUAGGGCAAACCCGUCCCUGUGGCAAAAGGGUGGGGAGAGCUUUGAGUAGAGGUGAAAAACCUACCGAAUAUAGUUAUAGCUGGUUGCCCAAGAAUUGAAUAGAAGUUCAGCCCCUCCGGUCCUUUCUUCAUCUUCGUUCACCAUAACUGAUAUAAAAGGAACUGAGGGAGUUAGUCAAAGGGGGUACAGCCCCUUUGAAUUAAGACACAACUUUUUAAGGAGGAUAAGGAUCAUA